GGCUUCAUGGUCUAGUGGUAUGAUUCUCGCUUUGGGUGCGAGAGGCCCCGCGUUCGAAUCGCGGUGGAGCCC
rnacentral:tRNA from 1 species